GCGGGAGUAAUUCAGUGGUAGAAUGUCUCCUUGCCAAGGAGAAUGUCGAGGGUUCGAGCCCCUUCUCCCGCUCCA
rnacentral:tRNA from 2 species